CCCUUAGAUGUUCUGGGCCGCACGCGCGCUACACUGAUUCAUGCAACAAGCAUCCGUCCUUGGCCGACAGGCCCGGGCAAUCUUUGAACGCUGGUCGUGAUGGGGAUAGACUUUUGCAAUUUUUGGUCUUCAACGAGGAAUUCCUAGUAAACGCAAGUCAUCAACUUGCAUUGAUUACGUCCCUGCCCUUUGUACACACCGCCCGUCGCACCUACCGAUUGAAUGGUCCGGUGAAGCCUCCGGAUUGGCGCGCACCUCGGUGCCGCCGAGAAGUUGGCUAAACCUUACCAUUUAGAGGAAGGUGAAGUCGUAACA
rnacentral:rRNA from 1 species